rnacentral:tRNA from 1 species
AGGGAAAUAGCUCAGUUGGUAGAGCAAUCAUGUGAUAAGUGAUAUGCGGAGGUUCAAAUCCUCUUUUCUCAA